ACCAACUUACCAACUUACCAACUGAACUUUAAAAACUAAACUUACUUUUAACUUAACUACUCUGCACUUGUUCACGAACGACUUACCCCACACUCAAAACAAAGUAGGGACCGAAAAACGAAAAAGAAAAAAAGAACGAAAAAAAGUCGUCAUAGGUUUUCCCCGCACGUCAACUAUCAACUAACAAUCUACAUCAACCCGAUCCCAGAUCCCAUAGAUAUAGACAUAGACAUAGACAGAUCAUAUCGCUCAAACAGUCCUUCCACGCUAAGCCCCGCUCCCCAACAACCCCGUGUGAGGCAUCAAUAUCUAUAUAACUCCUAUCACCCAUCACCGUCAUCAUACAUACCAUAGCACCAUAUCAUACAUAUCGUAUAUAUAAUGCCAUAGAAAAGGAAAGAAAGGAAAAAAAGAAAGAAAUAUUCCGAUGAUGUCGAUUACCAAUUACCGAUUACCGACGCUGGACGCCCCCGUUAGUCAACAUACAUACAUACCCCUCCGAACCCCCGUACCCGUAGUCAAUUUGGUAGUUAGUUAGUUAACGUAACUUGCUUAACUCUACCAGCCAACUACAGUUAUCCAGCGCAUCCAGAGACAGCCGUUGAAUAAAUCGAUCAAUAAACUACUCACCCUUCUAAAGUAUGUACAGUACCUGAAGUACGGAGUAGGAGUAGGAGUUAGAUAGAUAGAUAUGUCCAGCUAGACUCUUGACUCUUGACUAUUUAUUGGCUACGCUAUACAUACAUACAAGGAAUACAAAUGAAUAUACGAGAUGAAUCCAUACAGUAUACGAUGAACACAACGAACCUAACCUACCCUAACCGAGCCCUGGCCUGCCCUCCCCUCCCCUCCCUUCCCUUCCCCCUGUCGACAAAUCGGGGCUGUGGGGUAGAGGGGGUAUAACGAACAAUGAACAAGG
rnacentral:sRNA from 2 species